rnacentral:rRNA from 1 species
GGCCAGACUCCUACGGGAGGCAGCAGUGGGGAAUAUUGCACAAUGGGGGAAACCCUGAUGCAGCGACGCCGCGUGAAGGAAGAAGUAUUUCGGUAUGUAAACUUCUAUCAGCAGGGAAGAAAAUGACGGUACCUGACUAAGAAGCCCCGGCUAACUACGUGCCAGCAGCCGCGGUAAUACGUAGGGGGCAAGCGUUAUCCGGAUUUACUGGGUGUAAAGGGAGCGUAGGCGGCAGCGCAAGCCAGAUGUGAAAGCCCGGGGCUCAACCCCGGGACUGCAUUUGAAACUGUCAGGCUGGAGUGCAGGAGAGGUAAGUGGAAUUCCUAGUGUAGCGGUGAAAUGCGUAGAUAUUAGGAGGAACACCAGUGGCGAAGGCGGCUUACUGGACUGUAACUGACGUUGAGGCUCGAAAGCGUGGGGAGCAAACAGGAUUAGAUACCCCAGUACG